GAUGAACGCUGGCGGCGUGCCUAAUACAUGCAAGUCGAGCGAACGGACGAGAAGCUUGCUUUUCUGAUGUUAGCGGCGGACGGGUGAGUAACACGUGGAUAACCUACCUAUAAGACUGGGAUAACUUCGGGAAACCGGAGCUAAUACCGGAUAAUAUUUUGAACCGCAUGGUUCACACGUGAAAGACGGUCUUGCUGUCACUUAUAGAUGGAUCCGCGCUGCAUUAGCUAGUUGGUAAGGUAACGGCUUACCAAGGCAACGAUGCAUAGCCGACCUGAGAGGGUGAUCGGCCACACUGGAACUGAGACACGGUCCAGACUCCGACGGGAGGCAGCAGUAGGGAAUCUUCCGCAAUGGGCGAAAGCCUGACGGAGCAACGCCGCGUGAGUGAUGAAGGUCUUCGGAUCGUAAAACUCUGUUAUUAGGGAAGAACAUAUGUGUAAGUAACUGUGCACAUCUUGACGGUACCUAAUCAGAAAGCCACGGCUAACUACGUG
rnacentral:rRNA from 1 species